rfam:Asian citrus Psyllid, Diaphorina citri - Florida Strain, whole genome shotgun sequence.
GGCGUAGUCAGGCGUAGUGGUCUCUGCGCUCGCCUUGCACGCGGGAGACCCGGGUUCGAUUCCCGGCGGGGUCA